UGGUUUUGUUGCAGUGGUGUGGAAUCCAUGGGACAAGAAAGCUAAAGCAUUGCCGGAUUUGGGAGAUGAAGAGUAUAAACAUAUGCUUUGUGUUGAUGGUGCAGCAAUUGAGAAACCAAUCACCUUGAAACCGGGUGAAGAAUGGACCGGGAAAUUAAGUCUCUCACUUGUCCUUUCCACCUGAAAAAACCGGUACCGGUUAUCUUCAAACCGAUUGAUUCUUCUUCUGUCUCUCUUAUAAUUAUAUUUUUCGGUAUAGUCUAUAGAAGACCAUCACAGUGUGCGUGUGAUUCUUUGGUAUCAAAUCCUGAAUAUUAAAAGGAAACCUGAGAUUUGAAAAUUGUCACCAGUUUUUUUGGCUGUGACAAGAUCUUGGUUUUGUGCGAGAUUUAACUUGUGUUGUAUGAAGAUAAUUUGUAUUUUGAUUAUUUAAUAAAGCUUUUUCGUUUUCAUGAUUUACAAGUAGUAACAAAACUAAAUAAAAAUGUUUCUUUUUAGAGUUAAAGGUUGGAAAAGCAUUUUUUAAUACUCUCAUGAAUACCUCACAGCGUUGGUGAAAGCAAAAGGAAUCAACCGUGGCUAAGAUGGUGUUAAAUCAUCACAAUAAUCAUGAAAGAUUUGAAAUUAUUGGCCUAUUAUGAUGCACCAUAAUAAAUUCUAUAAUUGAGUCGGUCCAAUAUUUAAUACACCGAAGGGAAAGUAAUAUUUUUUUAAUGAAAUACUUGAUGUCAAAAUGAAAAAGAAAUAUAUUAAAUGGUAAAUGCAUUGAAGGCUUGGAACUUCAAUAUGACAAGUACAUAAAAAAAAACGUAUUUGUAUGAGAUUCAUGUAAUUUCCAUCUUCUUUUAUUCUCAUUCUGAAUAAUUCAUAUUCUUGCUCCGGUUCGAAAAUUUGUAUCUUUUGAUUUCUGAGUUCUUGAUUUUCGGUACGUAAUUUUCUCCGGUUUGCUUAAUUAGGCUUCUCACUCGUUAAUCAUUUCCACGGGAAGUCGUGUGUAUUAAUAUUUUUUUGAACUUUUUGGAGUGAUUUUCAAAGGAUCUUUGCGUUUUCCAAUAUCAACCUCACGUCUUUGUUUGUUUGUUUGUUUGCACAUAAGAUUAAUUUGUUUUGGUGUGUGUGUGUGUUGCAGCUUUAUCGGUGUAAGAAAAGGACAUAGCAGUUGAAGUGUUGGUUGGGUGUUUGGUUCUCGAUCUCACGAGAUAACUUAGGUUUUCUUGUUGCUCCCCACAAGAAAGUUUUCUUCUUGUGACUUCUUCGCCUAACUUUCUCCCUCGAUUUAAGAAAGCAUAGGGGGGAAGACCAAAAAAUAAACAAAACAUCAAAGUCUUUCUCUCUUUUGUUAAACAAUGGAAGCAUCUACUGAUGACGAGAAGAGACCUAUGGUUGACUUGGUCAAGGAUAAAAAUGGAACCGAUCAGGUUCUUCUCCAGAAUCCUAAAGGCGCUUCUGUAAAGGUGAUUCAUUCUUAUUCUUUCUUCCAUUUGUUUCUCCGAUGUUGUACAAGAAAGUACUAAUCCCUCUUUUCGAUGCAAGAUUCUGAAUUUUAUUUUUUUUAUACUCGGAAUAAGUAGAGGAUAAGAUGUUGACUUUUAAUAAGAUUGCCCACCAACUCUGUUCGAAUGUUUUUUUUUCUCUGCCUAAAAACUCCUUUAGGUAUUAGAUAAUCUAAGAUUAAUUCUCAAUAUUGUGUUCUGUCUUUCGUACAUUUGAAUUGAACUGGUCCAAAAUUUUGGUUUUUGGGAGAAAUCUAUGUAUUUAGGUUCUUAGGGAUCAGAGGUGUGUUAGACUGUUCUGUUUCUACAUCGUGAUUUGGGUUCUGAAUCUUGAAGGUUGAAUAUUUAUAAAUAACUCCAAUCUCUCUUGACGAAAAAAAAAAAGUGGUAGAUUUAGAUCUAGUCUUAUAUUUAUAAUGUGAUUCCUGCAUCACACCCACCACACUUUCUCCUUUUUAUUAUCGAGCUGACAGUUUUGUUUUUAUACUCCGGAUGAUAUCUUUGUUCAGAUUAGUUUACAUGGAGGACAAGUUCUUUCUUGGAAGACUGAGAGAGGUGAUGAAUUGUUAUUCACCAGUGCCAAGGUACAAAACUAUUUCGGCUCUUUCCAACAUUCAAGCAACUUUUUAUUUUUUUACAAUAUUUAGUGAACAUAAUGCGACAUAUUGUUUCAGGCUAACUCUAAGCCUCCCCAUCCGGUACGAGGAGGAAUCCCUAUAUGCUUUCCUCAGGUACAUUUGGCUCAGAAAAGUCUAAGAUAUUUUUAAUAGACAUGAAUAAGUUUGAUCACCUUUCUUGAAUCUGUUUUUUUCAGUUUGGAACUCGAGGAUCACUUGAGCAACACGGGUUCGCAAGAAAUAAGAUGUGGCUUGUGGAAAAUGAUCCACCUGCUUUACCGUCCUUCGACUCAACCGGCAAAGCCUAUGUUGAUUUGGUACUUAAGUCCUCUGAUGAAGACACAACAAGGAUCUGGCCUCACUGGUAUUCUAAUUGUGAUUACUUCACUAAUCUUUUUUUUUCUUAUUUCAGAUUUCUUAAUAAUUGUUAUUGCUCUUGUUUCAGCUUUGAGUUUCACUUGAGAGUUUCACUGGGACUAGAUGGGAACCUAACUCUGAUAUCACGAGUCAGAAACAUCAACUCAAAGCCUUUUAGCUUUUCCAUUGCUUACCACACUUACUUCUCCAUCUCCGAUAUCAGGUUUAAACACCAAGUUUCUUUAUCCUCUCUCUUGUCUCUACGAAGUUCACACUUACUCAAUGCUUUCUUUCUUUCCUUUUUUGGUUAUUUUAUCAGUGAAGUAAGAGUUGAAGGACUUGAAACUCUAGACUAUCUUGAUAACAUGCUUGAUAAAGAACGGUUUACUGAGCAAGGCGAUGCGUUAACCUUUGAGUCCGAGAUCGAUAGAGUGUACUUGAACUCUAAAGACGUGGUUGCUGUGUUUGACCAUGAGAGAAAACGUACUUUCCUUAUCGAGAAAGAAGGUCUACCUGAUGUUGGUAAGAUCCUAAAACCGUAACCGUAUUUUUUAACCGGAAUCCGGUUAUCUAACAGGAUCAGAUUCUUGUGGUUUUGUUGCAGUGGUGUGGAAUCCAUGGGACAAGAAAGCUAAAGCAUUGCCGGAUUUGGGAGAUGAAGAGUAUAAACAUAUGCUUUGUGUUGAUGGUGCAGCAAUUGAGAAACCAAUCACCUUGAAACCGGGUGAAGAAUGGACCGGGAAAUUAAGUCUCUCACUUGUCCUUUCCACCUGAAAAAACCGGUACCGGUUAUCUUCAAACCGAUUGAUUCUUCUUCUGUCUCUCUUAUAAUUAUAUUUUUCGGUAUAGUCUAUAGAAGACCAUCACAGUGUGCGUGUGAUUCUUUGGUAUCAAA
rnacentral:lncRNA from 1 species